rnacentral:rRNA from 1 species
UGGGGAAUUUUCCGCAAUGGGCGAAAGCCUGACGGAGCAACGCCCGCGUGAGGGAUGAAGGCUUCUGGGCUGUAAACCUCUUUUAUCAAGGAAGAAGAUCUGACGGUACUUGAUGAAUAAGCCACGGCUAAUUCCGUGCCAGCAGCCGCGGUAAUACGGGAGUGGCAAGCGUUAUCCGGAAUUAUUGGGCGUAAAGCGUCCGCAGGCGGCCCUUCAAGUCUGCUGUUAAAAAGUGGAGCUUAACUCCAUCAUGGCAGUGGAAACUGUUGGGCUUGAGUGUGGUAGGGGCAGAGGGAAUUCCCGGUGUAGCGGUGAAAUGCGUAGAUAUCGGGAAGAACACCAGUGGCGAAGGCGCUCUGCUGGGCCAUCACUGACGCUCAUGGACGAAAGCCAGGGGAGCGAAAGGGAUUAGAUACCCCUGUAGUCCUGGCCGUAAACGAUGANCCCUAGGUGUCGGGGGAAUCGACCCCCUCGGUGUCGUAGCCAACGCGUUAAGUGUUCCGCCUGGGGAGUACGCACGCAAGUGUGAAACUCAAAGGAACGGGGGCCCGCACAAGCGGUGGAGUAUGUGGUUUAAUUCGAUGCAACGCGAAGAACCUUACCAGGGUUUGACAUCCUGCGAAUCUCUUGGAAACGAGAGAUCGCCUUCGGGAACGCAGUGAC